GAAAAAAACAGAGUGCUUGCAGUCUGUUUCACAUUAGGAGGCAUUUUGCUACAUAAUCGAUCCACCACAGACCAUAUGCAACUAUAGAAGCUCAACUUCCAUUAAAUGAACUUAAAACGCUCAAGUAACGUUAUAGGUCUCAAAACGCUUGCUCUGCGCCAGUGGAUACACACAGUUAUGUGCAUGUCACAGACUGUCCGCGCAUGGACUUCCGCGUUUCAGAGAUCCGCCUUUUACUUUCAGUCAACAUUACAUUAAUUAACGUUUAAAAAUUGAUUUUUGACAAUUGUGAAUCAAUUCAAGAAUCGUCUGCUUAUGCAUUGCGAUACAUUUAAGAAUCAAAUUUUUAUCCCAUCCCUACUAAAUAUACGAUAUCAUGUAAAUGUAAAAAAAUGAAAUACAAAAAUAAAAUAAAAAAAUGGUAUAGGUAUUAAUUACUAUUGUGAUGUUGAUUGUUUUAGGAGACACUUUGACAAGUGGGCACUGGAUGCUGAGUAUGGAAGGCGAGGUGGUGUGUGAGGGCACUCAGCCCAGUUUCCUGUCCGGCCUUGCCACUCUGUUUGCUGCUUAUUACUAGUUUAAUCUUGAGUAUCAGGAGGAAGCAGUGUGUACCUUGGAGUUCAUUCAAAGGUGCUUUGUGGGCAUAAAUCCGGAGAGAGGAUCCAAAGCCAAGGGAAAAGUACCAUCGAAAUAAAAACAGGACAAGUGAUACAGAAGAAAAUGUGUGGCAGUCAACCCACAUGUUGCCACUCUUCUGUGCAAAUUCCAAUGGAAUUUCUGAAAUUCACACUUUGAAUCCUGGGAUGGAACUUCAUCUGGAGCAUAAUUGUUAUUUGGUUGAUUUUUAUCUGUUUGAUGGAAAGUUUGUAUGACUUGUUUGGCCAUAUUGGUCUAUCCUUUAAGUGAUGAAAUCUAAAAACGUCUUUGUGGUUUUUAAAGGAUUAGUUCACCCAAAAAUGAA